CAUGAGUUCUGCCGCCGCGUGCAGCGCUCUGGGGGCCACGGCUGCAUGCUCCCGUGGGGAAGGGGUUGGCUCUGCGGGGAGGCAGUUACCUCCCCCUUCUCCUGGAGCCAUGCUGCCCCGUGUGCAGUGCUCUGGGGGCCAGGGCUGCGCGCGGUCCUGCGGGGCAGCGUUUGGCUCUGCGGGGAGGCAGACACCCUCCUCCCUCCCCUGAGCCCUGCCGCCGCGUGUGCAGUGCUCUGGGGGCCGGGGCUGCGCGUGCUCCCGCGGGACAGUGUUUCGCUCCGCGGGGAGGCUAGGAGCCUCAUCUCCUAUGGCCUAUGGUCAAGCCACGAAGACAGAGCACCCUGAGUUUCAGAGAAAAAGAGGAGGCAGCAGGCAGCACAAAGAGCAACAGAAGGGGGCCUCAGAGGUGUCCUAGUGGGAAAACUUAAGUCAAAGGGCUGAGAUCUCCAGUUCUUCCUGGAUCACCCUGAAUAUGGACAUUGGAUGAUAACCUCUGGACAAAUUCUAAAAGAACUCUUUGCAACUACAAAGCUCACCAUCUCUACUAUGAAUCUGAUCUCAGAACUGUACUCAUGUCUGUAUGUAUAUUGAUCUUUUAACCAAUAAUCUCUCUCUCUUUUUUCUUUUUUAAUAAAUUUUAGUUUAGAUAAUAAGGAUUGGGGGUAAGCCUGUAUUUGAGUAAGAUCUGAAAUAUUCAUUAACCUGGGAGGUAAUAUGCCCGAUCCUUUGGGAUUGGUAGAAUGUUUUUAUAUGAUGAAUAAGAUUUUCAGUAAUCCUUAUCAUGUUUGACUUGGAUGUCUGGGUGGAGGCCCAAGGCUGGGUUACAUUAAGGGAACUGUGUUGUUGGCUUCUGUGUAACCAGGAAGGUGUUAUAGAAGCUGUUUUGUGGUGGCUUGGUAAAUCUAAGUAUUGGAAUAUCCACCUUCUUUGGGGAUUGUCUGCCCCAUUCUUUGCAGUUCACCCUAAUUGAGUAACCUCAGUGAGGUUCCCCAGGACUCCGGACACACAUGCAUAGGUGCUGACUUCCCCUCUGCCCGGUGGGUGCUUACCUGCCCCUGGCCCCGCCUC